UACGAAGGGGGCUAGCGUUGCUCGGAAUCACUGGGCGUAAAGCGCACGUAGGCGGACUCUUAAGUCGGUGGUGAAAUCCUGGAGCUCAACUCCAGAACUGCCUUCGAUACUGGGGAUCUUGAGUCCGGGAGAGGUGAGUGGAACUGCGAGUGUAGAGGUGAAAUUCGUAGAUAUUCGCAAGAACACCAGUGGCGAAGGCGGCUCACUGGCCCGGUACUGACGCUGAGAGUGCGAAAGCGUGGGGAGCAA
rnacentral:rRNA from 1 species